ACCCAGUUCUGAAUGUCCCUGGGGAAGUGGGUGGAACACCCAGCUAGGCGGAGUUAUAGACCUUACCCGGAAGCUGAGACCUUUCUGAUAAGGGACACAUGUACACAAUUUUCAGAAUGCAGGCUUUCCCUCCUAGACACCACCCUUUCAUUGGCCGCCUUCUUCACCUUGCUCCCAGUAGAAAAGAGCUUUGAAAGAACCCAGUGAACCUGCAUGCUGGGUGAUAAGCCAGCCCAUCCCUCUUCUCAGCCUGACUUGCCCAGACACCUCCCAGCUUCCCAACUUGCAUCACUGAGCAACACCAAAGUCCAGGGCCAGCUAGGUAAGCUGUGGGGCCCACACACAAAGCAGGCCUAUAGUGCCACUGAGCGAGCGUACUAAAACGUAACGCCUUUUCCUUUGUCCUGUCCUGAUGCUUGCAUAGUAAAUACAAAAUUAAUUCUACGUUAUCAGUGGGCAUUUUGCCAUUCAUCUUUUAAAUAUCAAUCUGAGAGUAUUUAACUCUUCCUACUUGUGUAUUUUUUGUUCCUAAGAAUGCAGCACUAGGCCGGGCAGUGGCUCACGCCUUUAAUCCCAGCACUCAGGAGGCAGAGGUAGAGAGUUCUCUGAAUUCAGGGCUAGCCUUGUCUCAGAGUGAGUUCCAUUGUUAGCUAGUAUGUGGGAUUAUCAUAGAUAAGAAAGGAGAUCGGGGAUCCUUGCUCAUCCCUGGGACUCUGCAGCCAGCCCAUCAGAACAGAGGUGGCCAAUAGCAGGCCAGAUGCAAGCCACAAUUGAGUUGUUAAGAGCCCGAGGGAAUUACUUCCCUUGUAGGGAAUGAGUGACUUCUGCGUAUUGGCAGGACCCAGGACAGGAGUAAAGCCAGGGCCAAAGGAUGUGUCAGGAGGUGGCAAAAAGAAGAGCAGUGUUUAAACACUGACUUUCUGUGGCUGACAGUUUCAUCUGAUACAAACCAAUGGACCUGAGAAUCAGGAACAGGCAGGCAUCUCAUGGUGUCUCUCUGUUCACCUUGGAAACAUCAGAGACCUGGGAUAGCACAUUGCUGUCAAGUGUGUAGGGAGCAGUGUUCACCUCUAGUUUCAGAGUACAAGAUGGUGCAAGGAUCUAAAGUAGGGUCCCUUAAAGCUACCCACAAUAUUUAAUCUAGAGUUGUCUGUGUCCAGGAACUUAACAUCAGAAGUACAUGUUGAUGGGCAAAGACAUGUGCCAAGGAUCUUUACUGAUAAUCUCUCAAUGAUCUAAGUGUUCAUAAAUACAGAGCUGCUUAAAUAAGUGGUUCUACAGCUCUGUGGCCUUACUGGUUGCAUUGCUGUGUUCUGAUGCUCAACGCACAACAGUGGGAGCCAAGCUGGUGGUUAAACUCUGCCUGCUGUGUGGGUCAAGCAGAUGGACAGUGGUUGGGCGCUCUCAUAGGAGAGCCCUGACUCCAGGGAUGCCUGAGGGGUGCUACUGGGCUUUUAGCAGUUGGCAUUCAUUGCAGCUUUGGGCUCCCAUUCUUGGGGAAUCUUCGGGAGCUCCCUCUGACUCUGUCCCAGCUCCACUGCUGUCUAGAGUCCUGUACCCUACACUCCGGAGAGAGUGUGUCUUAGUUAGGGCUUCCAUCUCUAUGAAGAGACACCAUAACCAAGGCAACUCUUUUAAAGGACAACAUUUAUUUAAUUGGGGCUGGCUUACAGGCUCAGAGGUUCAGUCCAUCAUCAUCAAGAUGGACACAGCAGCAUCCAAGCAGGCAUGGUGCAGGAGGAACUGAGAGUUCUACAUAUUUAUCCAAGAAAGCCAGGAGCAGACUGUCCCCACGUGGCUAGGAGGAGGGUCUCAAAGUGCCCUACCCUCACCCCCCAGUGACACACUUCCUCCAAAAAGUCCACACCUAUUCCAGCAAGGCCACACCUCCUAAUAGUGCCACUCUCUGGACCUAGCAUAUUCAAGCCACCAUAGUGAGCGUCACAGAACAGCAACCAUGCCAUGAAUGUCUUUGUUUCUGACACCCACCUUUGGUGUCAAGGCUCCGGAGGCUGUGGUACCCUCUGCACGUUGGUGACUUAGGAAGGUAGCCAGGCCUAGAGCUGGGAGGAAUUUUGUGAGCUAGGGAGCUAAGGGUGUGGCUGAGGAAGCAGCUGGCAUUAGAGACAUCUGCCUGUCAGGAUCUCCAGGGAGACCAGGGGAAGCAGGAGAAUGUGAAUGGCUGGCUGUGUGCAAACUAAAUGGAAGGCUCGAUGUGGAGCUAGAUUCCAUUUACCUGGUGAGAGUUGUCCUUGCUGCAGACCUUAGAAAAAUUGCAGGAGUUUGUAACCCCAUAGGAAGAAAAACAAUAUCAACCAACCAGGACCCCCAGAACUCCCAGGGACUAAGCCAUCAACAAAGGAGUACACAUGGCUCCAGCUGCAUAUGUAGCAGAGGAUGACCUUGUCAUGCAUCAAUGGGAAGAGGGGUCCUUGAUCCUAAGAAGGCUCAAUAGAUGCCCCAGUGUAGGGGAAUCGAGGGUGGGGAGAGGAACACCCUCAUAGAAGCAGGGGAAGGGAGGAUGUGGUAGGGUGUUCCCGGGAGGGAGGGAAGCAGGGAAAGGGAUAAUAUUUGAAAUGUAAAUAAAGAGAAUAUCCAAUU
rnacentral:lncRNA from 1 species